rnacentral:rRNA from 1 species
GCUACGGGAGGCAGCAGUGAGGAAUAUUGGUCAAUGGGCGGGAGCCUGAACCAGCCAAGUCGCGUGAGGGACGACGGUCCUAUGGAUUGUAAACCUCUUUUGUCGGGGAACAAAGGCGCCCACGGGUGGGCGGCUGAGUGUACCCGAAGAAAAAGCAUCGGCUAACUCCGUGCCAGCAGCGGGGGUAAUACGGAGGAUCCAAGAGUUAUCCGGAUUUAGUGGGGUUAAAGGGUGCGUAGGCGGAGUGAAAAGUUAGAGGUGAAAUGUCCGAGCUUAUCUCGGGAGCUGCCGCUAUUACUGUUGAUCUAGAGAGUAGAUGCGGUAGGCGGAAUGGAUGGUGUAGCGGUGAAAUGCUGAGAGAGCAUACAGAACACCGAUUGCGAAGGCAGCUUACCAAUCUAUAUCUGACGUUGAGGCACGAAAGCGUGGGGAGCAAACAGGAUUAGAUACCCCUGUAGUC